rnacentral:rRNA from 1 species
GUUUGAAUUAAGAUGUGCUGUAAGUAUAAAUCUCGGAAGCUAAGCAGGGUUGGGCCUGGUUAAUACUUGGAUUGGGGACUGCCUGGGAAUACCGGGUGCUGUAGGCC